GAGGUCGCCUGCCCUGGUACACCCGGCAUCCGGUUCCCUUGGAUGUAGUCCAUACCCCUUGCAGUGUAUUACGACCCCUUCCCGCCAAGACUCGGCGUGACUCAAUCUUACCGGCGCCUCUAUUCUUAACCUGCCGUUUUUGAACGCUACGGCCGCCGCGUUUCCCAUACUCCCCACCAGUCCCUCGGUGGUUCGUAUUCCAUUUCUUAUUCAUUUCCCAUACUCCCCACCCGUUCCUUGGUGGUUCGUAUUUCAAUCAUUUAACUUUUCCUUUUUCCUUUCAUUUCCUUUUUCCUUAACCCUUAGACUCUUUCUUACUUUCCGUUUUCGACGCCACCCGUUCUCGGUGUCACACUCAAUUCAUUUAGCAAUCAGUCAUGGAUAUCCUAUCAUUCAUCUAACCAGGCCGGUUAACAGUUCUCUUAAGACCCUAUGUUCAUUUCUUUCUAACAUCCUAGCUCUCAAUCACAAACAACAGAUCUUCAAUCAACCAAUCACUCAAUCCACAAUCGUCAUUAAACCAGUUCGUGUAAAGUUCUUAAUCAGUAUGAGAGUCCUGAUGCAAUACGAUCUAUCAUCCUA
rnacentral:lncRNA from 1 species